GACGAACGCUGGCGGCGUGCCUAAUACAUGCAAGUAGAACGCUGAAGGAGGAGCUUGCUUCUCUGGAUGAGUUGCGAACGGGUGAGUAACGCGUAGGUAACCUGCCUGGUAGCGGGGGAUAACUAUUGGAAACGAUAGCUAAUACCGCAUAAUAGUAGAUGUUGCAUGACAUUUGCUUAAAAGGUGCAAUUGCACCACUACCAGAUGGACCUGCGUUGUAUUAGCUAGUUGGUGGGGUAACGGCUCACCAAGGCGACGAUACAUAGCCGACCUGAGAGGGUGAUCGGCCACACUGGGACUGAGACACGGCCCAGACUCCUACGGGAGGCAGCAGUAGGGAAUCUUCGGCAAUGGACGGAAGUCUGACCGAGCAACGCCGCGUGAGUGAAGAAGGUUUUCGGAUCGUAAAGCUCUGUUGUAAGAGAAGAACGAGUGUGAGAGUGGAAAGUUCACACUGUGACGGUAUCUUACCAGAAAGGGACGGCUAACUACGUGC
rnacentral:rRNA from 1 species